rnacentral:rRNA from 1 species
UACGAAGGGUGCGAGCGUUAAUCGGAAUUACUGGGCGUAAAGGGUGCGCAGGCGGCGUCGCAAGUCAGGCGUGAAAUCCCCGGGCUUAACCUGGGAACUGCACUUGAAACUACGAUGCUGGAGUAUGGCAGAGGGAGGUGGAAUUCCACGUGUAGCGGUGAAAUGCGUAGAGAUGUGGAGGAACACCGAUGGCGAAGGCAGCCUCCUGGGCCAAUACUGACGCUCAUGCACGAAAGCGUGGGGAGCAAACAGG